rnacentral:ribozyme from 1 species
GUAUUCGAACCUCGAAUCCUCCUGAACGAGUCGCUCAAUUGACGUAUAGUCCUAACUUUCGAUCAUUGCUUGUGACGACUAUGGAAGGAACCA